UCCUUUGACAACUCUAGAGAUAGAGCUUUCCCCUUCGGGGGACAAAGUGACAGGUGGUGCAUGGUUGUCGUCAGCUCGUGUCGUGAGAUGUUGGGUUAAGUCCCGCAACGAGCGCAACCCUUAAGCUUAGUUGCCAUCAUUAAGUUGGGCACUCUAAGUUGACUGCCGGUGACAAACCGGAGGAAGGUGGGGAUGACGUCAAAUCAUCAUGCCCCUUAUGAUUUGGGCUACACACGUGCUACAAUGGACAAUACAAAGGGCAGCGAAACCGCGAGGUCAAGCAAAUCCCAUAAAGUUGUUCUCAGUUCGGAUUGUAGUCUGCAACUCGACUACAUGAAGCUGGAAUCGCUAGUAAUCGUAGAUCAGCAUGCUACGGUGAAUACGUUCCCGGGUCUUGUACACACCGCCCGUCACACCACGAGAGUUUGUAACACCCGAAGCCGGUGGAGUAACCAUUUGGAGCUAGCCGUCGAAGGUGGGACAAAUGAUUGGGGUGAAGUCGUAACAAGGUAGCCGUAUCGGAAGGUGCGGCUGGAUCACCUCCUUUCUAAGGA
rnacentral:rRNA from 1 species